AAGGUUUCAAAGCCUGUCAAAAGACUAAGUUCCACAAAGAAGUGAUUCAGAUUCUAAUUGAUCAGAAUCUGUAAGUUCAUCAGCAUCUGAAGCCUUCAGACUAUGUUCUUGAUCCAACCUCUGAUGACAGCUCAACUUCUAAAAGAUUGAAGAACAUCUAAUUCGUACACUGUACCAAAACAGUCUUGUCUUAUAAAAUCC
rnacentral:lncRNA from 1 species